ensembl:lncRNA
AUGAGUUCACGUAUAAAACAUACUGCAUGUGUUUCACAUAUGAGUUCACGUAUAAAACGUACUCCAUGUGUUUCACAUAUGAGUUCACGUAUAAAACAUACUGCAUGUUUCACAUAUGAGUUCACGUAUAAAACAAGCUGCAUGUGUUUCACAUAUGAGUUCACAUAUAAAACAAGCUGCAUGUGUUUCACAUAUGAGUUCACAUAUAAAACAAGCUGCAUGUGUUUCACAUAUGAGUUCACGUAUAAAACAAGCUGCAUGUGUUUCACAUAUGAGUUCACGUAUAAAACAAGCUGCAUGUGUUUCACAUAUGUGUUCAUGUAUAAAACAAGCUGCAUGUGUUUCACAUAUGAGUUCACAUAUAAAACAAGCUGCAUGUGUUUCACAUAUGUGUUCACGUAUAAAACAAGCUGCAUGUGUUUCACAUAUGAGUUCACGUAUAAAACAAGCUGCAUGUGUUUCACAUAUGUGUUCACGUAUAAAACAAGCUGCAUGUGUUUCACAUAUGAGUUCACGUAUAAAACAAGCUGCAUGUGUUUCACAUAUGUGUUCACGUAUAAAACAAGCUGCAUGUGUUUCACAUAUGAGUUCACAUAUAAAACAAGCUGCAUGUGUUUCACAUAUGAGUUCACAUAUAAAACAAGCUGCAUGUGUUUCACAUAUGAGUUCAAGUAUAAAACAAGCUGCAUGUGUUUCACAUAUGACUUCACGUAUAAAACAAGCUGCAUGUGUUUCACAUAUGUGUUCACGUAUAAAACAAGCUGCAUGUGUUUCACAUAUGAGUUCACGUAUAAAACAAGCUGCAUGUGUUUCACAUAUGUGUUCACGUAUAAAACAAGCUGCAUGUGUUUCACAUAUGAGUUCAAGUAUAAAACAAGCUGCAUGUGUUUCACAUAUGUGUUCACGUAUAAAACAAGCUGCAUGUGUUUCACAUAUGAGUUCACAUAUAAAACAAGCUGCAUGUGUUUCACAUAUGAGUUCACGUAUAAAACAAGCUGCAUGUGUUUCACAUAUGUGUUCACGUAUAAAACAAGCUGCAUGUGUUUCACAUAUGAGUUCACGUAUAAAACAAGCUGCAUGUGUUUCACAUAUGAGUUCACAUAUAAAACAAGCUGCAUGUGUUUCACAUAUGAGUUCACGUAUAAAACAAGCUGCAUGUGUUUCACAUAUGUGUUCACGUAUAAAACAAGCUGCAUGUGUUUCACAUAUGAGUUCACAUAUAAAACAAGCUGCAUGUGUUUCACAUAUGUGUUCACGUAUAAAACAAGCUGCAUGUGUUUCACAUAUGAGUUCACGUAUAAAACAAGCUGCAUGUGUUUCACAUAUGUGUUCACGUAUAAAAUAAGAUGCAUGUGUUUCACAUAUGAGUUCACGUAUAAAACAAGCUGCAUGUGUUUCACAUAUGUGUUCACGUAUAAAACAAGCUGCAUGUGUUUCACAUAUGAGUUCACAUAUAAAACAAGCUCCAUGUGUUUCACAUAUGAGUUCACGUAUAAAACAAGGUGCAUGUGUUUCACAUAUGUGUUCACGUAUAAAACAAGCUCCAUGUGUUUCACAUAUGAGUUCACAUAUAAAACAAGCUGCAUGUGUUUCCCAUAUGAGUUCACAUAUAAAACAAGCUGCAUGUGUUUCACAUAUGUGUUCACGUAUAAAACAAGCUGCAUGUGUUUCACAUAUGAGUUCACUUAUAAAACAAGCUGCAUGUGUUUCACAUAUGAGUUCACAUAUAAAACAAGCUGCAUGUGUUUCACAUAUGAGUUCACGUAUAAAACAAGCUGCAUGUGUUUCACAUAUGAGUUCACAUAUAAAACAAGCUGCAUGUGUUUCACAUAUGAGUUCACGUAUAAAACAAGCUGCAUGUGUUUCACAUAUGAGUUCACAUAUAAAACAAGCUGCAUGUGUUUCACAUAUGUGUUCACGUAUAAAACAAGCUGCAUGUGUUUCACAUAUGAGUUCACAUAUAAAACAAGCUUCAUGUGUUUCACAUAUGAGUUCACAUAUAAAACAAGCUGCAUGUGUUUCACAUAUGAGUUCACGUAUAAAACAAGCUGCAUGUGUUUCACAUAUGAGUUCACAUAUAAAACAAGCUGCAUGUGUUUCACAUAUGAGUUCACGUAUAAAACAAGCUGCAUGUGUUUCACAUAUGAGUUCACAUAUAAAACAAGCUGCAUGUGUUUCACAUAUGUGUUCACGUAUAAAACAAGCUGCAUGUGUUUCACAUAUGAGUUCACAUAUAAAACAAGCUUCAUGUGUUUCACAUAUGAGUUCACAUAUAAAACAAGCUGCAUGUGUUUCACAUAUGAGUUCACGUAUAAAACAAGCUGCAUGUGUUUCACAUAUGAGUUCACAUAUAAAACAAGCUGCAUGUGUUUCACAUAUGUGUUCACGUAUAAAACAAGCUGCAUGUGUUUCACAUAUGUGUUCACAUAUAAAACAAGCUGCAUGUGUUUCACAUAUGUGUUCACAUAUAAAACAAGCUGCAUGUGUUUCACAUAUGAGUUCACGUAUAAAACAAGCUGCAUGUGUUUCACAUAUGAGUUCACAUAUAAAACAAGCUGCAUGUGUUUCACAUAUGUGUUCACGUAUAAAACAAGCUGCAUGUGUUUCACAUAUGAGUUCACAUAUAAAACAAGCUGCAUGUGUUUCACAUAUGAGUUCACGUAUAAAACAAGCUGCAUGUGUUUCACAUAUGAGUUCACAUAUAAAACAAGCUGCAUGUGUUUCACAUAUGUGUUCACGUAUAAAACAAGCUGCAUGUGUUUCACAUAUGUGUUCACGUAUAAAACAAGCUGCAUGUGUUUCACAUAUGUGUUCACGUAUAAAACAAGCUGCAUGUGUUUCACAUAUGUGUUCACGUAUAAAACAAGCUGCAUGUGUUUCACAUAUGAGUUCACGUAUAAAACAAGCUGCAUGUGUUUCACAUAUGUGUUCACGUAUAAAACAAGCUGCAUGUGUUUCACAUAUGAGUUCACAUAUAAAACAAGCUGCAUGUGUUUCACAUAUGAGUUCACAUAUAAAACAAGCUGCAUGUGUUUCACAUAUGUGUUCACGUAUAAAACAAGCUGCAUGUGUUUCACAUAUGAGUUCACAUAUAAAACAAGCUCCAUGUGUUUCACAUAUGAGUUCACGUAUAAAACAAGGUGCAUGUGUUUCACAUAUGUGUUCACGUAUAAAACAAGCUCCAUGUGUUUCACAUAUGAGUUCACAUAUAAAACAAGCUGCAUGUGUUUCACAUAUGAGUUCACGUAUAAAACAAGCUGCAUGUGUUUCACAUAUGUGUUCACGUAUAAAACAAGCUGCAUGUGUUUCACAUAUGAGUUCACAUAUAAAACAAGCUGCAUGUGUUUCACAUAUGAGUUCACGUAUAAAACAAGCUGCAUGUGUUUCACAUUUGAGUUCACCUAUAAAACAAGCUGCAUGUGUUUCACAUAUGAGUUCACAUAUAAAACAAGCUGCAUUUGUUUCACAUAUGAGUUCACGUAUAAAACAAGCUGCAUGUGUUUCACAUAUGAGUUCACAUAUAAAACAAGCUGCAUGUGUUUCACAUAUGAGUUCACGUAUAAAACAAGCUGCAUGUGUUUCACAUAUGAGUUCACAUAUAAAACAAGCUGCAUGUGUUUCACAUAUGUGUUCACGUAUAAAACAAGCUGCAUGUGUUUCACAUAUGAGUUCACGUAUAAAACAAGCUUCAUGUGUUUCACAUAUGAGUUCACAUAUAAAACAAGCUGCAUGUGUUUCACAUAUGAGUUCACGUAUAAAACAAGCUGCAUGUGUUUCACAUAUGAGUUCACAUAUAAAACAAGCUGCAUGUGUUUCACGUAUGUGUUCACGUAUAAAACAAGCUGCAUGUGUUUCACAUAUGUGUUCACGUAUAAAACAAGCUGCAUGUGUUUCACAUAUGUGUUCACGUAUAAAACAAGCUGCAUGUGUUUCACAUAUGUGUUCACAUAUAAAACAAGCUGCAUGUGUUUCACAUAUGUGUUCACAUAUAAAACAAGCUGCAUGUGUUUCACAUAUGAGUUCACGUAUAAAACAAGCUGCAUGUGUUUCACAUAUGAGUUCACAUAUAAAACAAGCUGCAUGUGUUUCACAUAUGUGUUCACGUAUAAAACAAGCUGCAUGUGUUUCACAUAUGAGUUCACAUAUAAAACAAGCUGCAUGUGUUUCACAUAUGAGUUCACGUAUAAAACAAGCUGCAUGUGUUUCACAUAUGAGUUCACAUAUAAAACAAGCUGCAUGUGUUUCACAUAUGUGUUCACGUAUAAAACAAGCUGCAUGUGUUUCACAUAUGAGUUCACAUAUAAAACAAGCUGCAUGUGUUUCACAUAUGUGUUCACGUAUAAAACAAGCUGCAUGUGUUUCUGUUAA